rnacentral:rRNA from 1 species
CGAAAGCCUGACGGAGCAAUACCGCGUGAGGGAGGAAGGUUUUUGGAUUGUAAACCUCUUUUUUAAAGGAAGAAGAAAGUGACGGUACUUUAAGAAUAAGCAUCGGCUAACUCCGUGCCAGCAGCCGCGGUAAUACGGAGGAUGCAAGCGUUAUCCGGAAUCAUUGGGCGUAAAGAGUCCGUAGGUGGCUAAUCAAGUCCGAAGUUAAAGACAGAAGCUAAACUUCUGGAAAGCAGCGGAAACUGAAGAGCUAGAGUGUAGGAGAGGUAGAGGGAAUUCCCAGUGUAGCGGUGAAAUGCGUAGAGAUUGGGAAGAACACCAGUGGCGAAGGCGCUCUACUGGACUAAAACUGACACUGAGGGACGAAAGCUAGGGUAGCG